AGGGCAUACGGCGGAUGCCUUGGCGCCAAGAGCCGAUGAAGGACGCGGUAAGCUGCGAAAAGGCAUGGGUAGGAGCAAGCAUCCUGUGAUCCAUGCAUAUCCGAAUGGGGCAACCCACCAUCAGUCAUGUGAUGGUACGAAAGAGGCAGACCUGGGGAACUGAAACAUCUAAGUACCCAGAGGAAAAGUAAUCAAUUGAGAUUCCCUAAGUAGCGGCGAGCGAAAGGGGAAGAGCCCAAACCAUGAAACUUCGGUUUUGUGGGGUUGAGGACCGGCAUAAAGAGGAAACUUCUUAGUCGAAUGGUUUGGAAAGGCCAUGCACAGAAGGUAAAACACCUGUAGGCGAAAAGAAGUCAAUCGGGCUGGUAUCCAGAGUACUGCGAGACACGUGAAACCUUGCAGGAAGCAGGGGGGACCACCCUCCAAGGCAAAAUACUACUUGGCGACCGAUAGCGCAUAGUACCGUGAGGGAAAGGUGAAAAGAACCCCGGGAGGGGAGUGAAAUAGAACCUGAAACUAUGUGCUUACAAGCGGUCAGAGCCCGCAAGGGUGAUGGCGUGCCUUUUGGAGAAUGAUCCUGCGAGUUACGUUCAGUGGCAAGGUUAAGUUUAACGGAGCCGAAGGGAAACCGAGUCUGAACAGGGCGAUUUUAGUCGCUGGGCGUAGACGCGAAACCUGGUGAUCUAAGCCUGUCCAGGGUGAAGCUGUGGUAAGACACAGUGGAGGCCCGAACUCACCGCCGUUGAAAAGUUGGGAGAUGAGGUAGGUUUAGGGGUGAAAAGCCAAUCGAACUAGGAGAUAGCUCGUUCUCUCCGAAAUGCAUUUAGGUGCAGCCUUGAGUGUUUAAUUAUGGGGGUAGAGCACUGAAUGGACUAGGGGGCGCAUUGCUUACUGAAUCCAAUCAAACUCCGAAUACCAUAAUUCAAGAGCUCAGGAGUGAGACUAUGGGAAUUAACUUCCAUUGUCAAAAGGGAAACAACCCAGACCACCAGCUAAGGUCCCUAAUCAUAACUAAGUGGGAAAGGAGGUGGAGAUUCAUAAACAACCAGGAGGUUGGCUUAGAAGCAGCCAUACCUUUAAAGAGUGCGUAAUAGCUCACUGGUCGAGAGUCUCUGCGCCGACAAUGUAACGGGGCUAAGUUAUGAACCGAAGCUGUGGAAUUGCGCAAGCAAUUGGUAGGAGAGCGUUCUGUAGGCCGUUGAAGGAGAAGCGUAAGCAACUCUGGAGGUAUCAGAAGUGAGAAUGCAGGAAUAAGUAGCGAGAAGGGAGGCGAGAAUCCUCCCCGCCGGAAGACCAAGGUUUUCAGGGUAAAGCUUGUCUUCCCUGAGUAAGCCGGGACCUAAGCCGAGGCUAUAGUGCGUAGGCGAAUGGAAAACAGAUUAAUAUUUCUGUGCCAGUCAUAUUUUGUGAUGGAGGGACGCAGAAGGGUAUGUACGCGGAAGAACGGUAGUUUCCGUAAAAGCAUGUAGAAUGACUUGAUAGGUAAAUCCGUCAAGUUAGAUUUGAGGUGUGAUAUAUAGUCGUAAGAUGAAUGUACAAAUCCCACGCUGCCGAGAAAAGCUUCUAACGUUAAGGUAUGACUGCCCGUACCCGAAACCGACACAGGUGGUCAGGAUGAGAAAUCUAAGGCGGACAGGCUAACUCUCGUUAAGGAACUCUGCAAAAUUGCCCCGUAACUUCGGGAGAAGGGGUGCCCCUGAGUGUGAGCAUACACGCGAUGUUAAGCGCUUGGGGGUCGCAGUGAAGAGGCUCAAGCAACUGUUUAACAAAAACACAGGUCUAUGCUAAGCUGUAAGGCGAUGUAUAUGGGCUGACACCUGCCCAGUGCCGGAAGGUUAAGAGGAGGAGUGAGAGCUCCGAAUUGAAGCCCCGGUGAACGGCGGCCGUAACUAUAACGGUCCUAAGGUAGCGAAAUUCCUUGUCGGGUAAGUUCCGACCUGCACGAAUGGUGUAAUGAUUUGAGCGCUGUCUUGACGGGAGGCCUGGUGAAAUUGUAUUACCGGUGAAGAUACCGGUUACCUACAGUAGGACGGAAAGACCCCAUGGAGCUUUACUGUAGCUUGGUAUUGGGUUUUGGCAUUGCAUGUAUAGGAUAGUUGGGAAACUAUGAUGGUAUGGCGCUAGCUAUAUCGGAGUUGUCGGUGGAAUACCAACCAUUCAAUGUUGAAAUUCUAAUCUGUGGUUUGGAGCCACGGAGACAGUGCUAGGUGGGCAGUUUGACUGGGGCGGUCGCCUCCGAAAGAGUAACGGAGGCGUUCAAAGGUUCUCUCAGGUUGGAUGGAAAUCAACCGCAGAGUGCAAUGGCAUAAGAGAGCUUGACUGCGAGACUGACGGGUCGAGCAGGUGCGAAAGCAGGACAUAGUGAUCCGGCGAUUCCGAAUGGAAGGAUCGUCGCUCAACGGAUAAAAGCUACCCUGGGGAUAACAGGCUGAUCCUACCCGAGAGUCCAUAUCGACGGUAGGGUUUGGCACCUCGAUGUCGGCUCAUCGCAUCCUGGGGCUGGAGAAGGUCCCAAGGGUUGGGCUGUUCGCCCAUUAAAGCGGUACGUGAGCUGGGUUCAGAACGUCGUGAGACAGUUCGGUCCCUAUCCACUGUAGGCGUUAGAAUAUUGAGAAGAUCUGUCCUUAGUACGAGAGGACCGGGAUGGACAAACCUCUGAUGUACCAGUUGUCACGCCAGUGGCACAGCUGGGUAGUCACGUUUGGAACAGAUAACCGCUGAAAGCAUCUAAGCGGGAAACUGACUUCAAGAUAAGUAUUCU
rnacentral:rRNA from 1 species